rnacentral:tRNA from 1 species
UAAUUGAAGCCAAAAUUGAGGCUUAUCACUGUUAAUGAUAGAACUGAGUUAUUACUCCAAUUAAG